AUUGAACGCUGGCGGCAGGCCUAACACAUGCAAGUCGAACGAGUGGCGGACGGGUGAGUCAUGUCUGGGAAACUGCCUGAAGGAGGGGGAUAACUACUGGACACGGUAGCUAAUACCGCAUACCCACAGAUGUGCCCAGAUGGGAGUAGCUAGUUGGUGGGGUAACGGUUCACCAAGGCGACGAUCCCUAGCUGGUCUGAGAGGAUGACCAGCAACACUGGAACUGAACCACGGUCCAGACUCCUGCGGGAGGCAGCAGUGGGGAAUAAUGCACAAUGGUCGCAAGCCUGAUGCAGCCGUGCCGCGUAGAUGAAGAAGGCCUGCGGGUUGUAAAGUACUUUCAGCGGGGAGGCGUUACCCGCAGAAGAGGCACCGGCUAACUCCGUGCCAGCAGCCGCGGUAAUUC
rnacentral:rRNA from 1 species